AACAGUGGGAAGAGAAUCCGAGAAGCAGUUUUAGCUUGGCUCCUCUGCAGUCUUGUUACAGGUAGUUAGGUAGGCGUGAGCAGGGCAGGAGACGGCUUCCCAUCCCACCCCAACUAGAAAUGUCGGUGACGGUUUGGCAUUGUCUCUCUAAAAAGUGUAAUUCCGCAACCAGGGAGAGACAAUCUCCUGAUGGUCCACACCUGUUAACAUUAAAAGUUGUUAACUGAAUACAGACUCCAGGGAGAAACAGCUUCCCGGGAAUGCACAUUAAAACACAAAAAAUGGCUAAGUAUGAUCUUCCGGUUCCAUGCCACCGGGGAAAAAGGAAGAAAUCCUCAGAUGGGCAUGCGUACAACUCCCUAAACACACUGCGCAUGCUCAGUUCCUAAGGGUAAAGAGGGCUCCGCGCAUGCAGGAAGACCACCCUAAGGGAAGAAUCAUGGGAAAGAGGCAGAAAAUUAAAACUGGAUUGCUACCUGGUGCUUCCAUACACUGAAAAGAAAGAACACUCCAAUCUGCCAGCCUUACGAUGUUGGGAAAACGCAUCAAACAGUGCUAAGGUUUUAAGCAUGGAGAAUAUAAUCCAGUUGUAAAGCUAUUAACCCAGAAAAGAUGUCACAUGAAAGUCUGUAAAUAUGAACCACACUCUACUGCCCAGUGAUGGAGAAACCUACUGACUGUGGUGCGCAGAUUCCUAAGACGCCCUCAUGGUAUCCAUGUCCGCAUCAUCUCCUCCCCCUUGAGAGUGGGCUGAACCUGUGACUGGCCUCUAACCAACAGGCUAUCGUGAAGAUCAUACGCACUGCACUGGUUACAUGGAUUACAGCUGCAGACUUCUAACACAAAAUCCACACACAAGUACACGGACCCAGGUGGAGGCCUCAGCCCCUUAUUUCCUGCUUCUCUCCACUGUCUUAUUUUCAAGCUGCUACUGGUGCACCAUGAGAACCUGAUUUAAUACUAAGUGUCCAUACCAAAGCACCAUUCAACUCUGUGCCACCCACCAAGAAACAAGAGAGUUUUUACACAAUGGCUACUUGUAGAACCUCCGAACUACCUACAGAGUCCCCGUGGUGACAUGCUGUAAAGUACUCCGUAUUUGUUUCCACUAACUGGGUGAUUGAAAAUAAUAAAAAUUUAUUAUCUGACAGUUUUGGAAGCUAAAAGUCUGAAAUCAAGGUGUCAUCAGGGCCAUGCUCCCUGCAAGGGCUCCAUGGAGACUCUGAUCCAUGCCUCUGUCCUCACUUCUCG
rnacentral:lncRNA from 1 species